rnacentral:rRNA from 1 species
UCCCCAGACUCCUACGGGAGGCAGCAGUGGGGAAUAUUGCACAAUGGGGGAGACCCUGAUGCAGCGACGCCGCGUGAGCGAUGAAGUAUUUCGGUAUGUAAAGCUCUAUCAGCAGGGAAGAAGAUGACGGUACCUGACUAAGAAGCCCCGGCUAACUACGUGCCAGCAGCCGCGGUAAUACGUAGGGGGCAAGCGUUAUCCGGAUUUACUGGGUGUAAAGGGAGCGUAGACGGCGAUGCAAGCCAGAUGUGAAAGCCCGGGGCUCAACCCCGGGACUGCAUUUGGAACUGUGUGGCUGGAGUGUCGGAGAGGCAGGCGGAAUUCCUAGUGUAGCGGUGAAAUGCGUAGAUAUUAGGAGGAACACCAGUGGCGAAGGCGGCCUGCUGGACGAUGACUGACGUUGAGGCUCGAAAGCGUGGGGAGCGAACAGGAUUAGAUACCCUAGUA